GGGAUUCACAUUCGUUCAUACCCCACUAGUAGUCCUUUAGUGGGGAAGAAGACUAUCAAGAUAGACGAGAUCACUGCAGUGUUUCUUCAAAAUGAGCUUCGAGAUUAGACGGUGGCAGCUCAGCUUUGACAGUUUCUAAAGGAGCAGAUGGCAGCAGACGGAGCGGCAGAAGAUCGCGAUGAGGGCGGUCCAAGUCCAGGAUGAGGGACUUGAGCAAGAUCAGAUGUUACCGGUAUAAUGAGUUAGGGCAUCGAGUUAGAGAUUGCUCAUAAUAAA
rnacentral:lncRNA from 1 species